AAGAAGAAGAGGGCAUCCUUCAAGAGGAAGUCCAGCAAGAAAGGGCCUGAGGAGGGCCGCUGGAGACCCUUCAUCAUCAGGCCCACCCCCUCCCCCCUCAUGAAGCCCCUGCUGGUGUUUGUGAACCCCAAGAGUGGGGGCAACCAGGGUGCAAAGAUCAUCCAGUCUUUCCUCUGGUAUCUCAAUCCCCGACAAGUCUUCGACCUGAGCCAGGGAGGGCCCAAGGAGGCGUAAGUACUUGCCAAGGUUUUGUGGGGGACAUGGGGGGGAACUUGCCUCACUCCUGGGGUACAGCACACAUCCCCUGACCCCACUGCCAUCUUCCCAUGAGCCCAGGCUGGAGAUGUACCGCAAAGUGCACAACCUGCGGAUCCUGGCGUGCGGGGGCGACGGCACGGUGAGCUCCCCACAUGGGCCAGCCGAGCACCAGGGCUGGGCCUGAAGCCGGGGUCCCUGUGGGCCUGACUUGCCUCUGUUCUCCCUCCCCCAGGUGGGCUGGAUCCUCUCCACCCUGGACCAGCUACGCCUGAAGCCACCACCCCCUGUUGCCAUCCUGCCCCUGGGUACUGGCAACGACUUGGCCCGAACCCUCAACUGGGGUGGGGUAAGCACCCAUA
rnacentral:sRNA from 1 species